AGCAAGCCUUUGUGGGACAUGGAUUUUGAGUUUAUAAGGUGGUGAAACGAUUGGUUUAUUACCCUCUCCUAUGACUUUCUCACCUUGUUGCUUUUCACUCUCUAUCUCACCCUCAAUUGUCUUAGUUUUCGUAAUGGGGUCCUCUAACUUAUUACCGUCCCUAAGUUGAAUAGCAUUUAUAAGGCCUUUGGGGUUGGCUUCAGUUUGACUUUGAAAGACAUCGGGGGUUUGAGAGGAAGUAGCUACUUUUUGGGCUACUUGAGAGAUUUGAGUUUCUAGCAUUCUAGUGUGAGUAGCAAUGGAGUCCAC
rnacentral:lncRNA from 1 species